rnacentral:rRNA from 1 species
CGCGGCCUAUCAGCUUGUUGGUGAGGUUGUGGCUCACCAAGGCGUCGACGGGUAGCCGGCCUGAGAGGGUGACCGGCCGCAUUGGGACUGAGAUACGGCCCAGACUCCUACGGGAGGCAGCAGUGGGGAAUAUUGCACAAUGGGCGAAAGCCUGAUGCAGCAACGCCGUGUGCGGGAUGACGGCCUUCGGGUUAUAAACCGCUUUCACCAGGGACGAAGGGCCUUUCGGGGUUUGACGGUACCUGGAGAAGAAGCACCGGCUAACUGCGUGCCAGCAGCCGCGGUGAUACGUAGGGUGCGAGCGUUGUCCGGAUUCAUUGGGCGUAAAGAGCUCGUAGGUGGUUGAUCGCGUCGGAAGUGAAAACUUGGGGCUUAACCCUGGGCGUGCUUUCGAUACGGGUUGACUUGAGGAAGGUAGGGGAGAAUGGAACUCCUGGUGGAGCGGUGGAAUGCGCAGAUAUCAGGAGGAACACCAGUGGCGAAGGCGGUUCUCUGGACCUUUCCUGACGCUGAGGAGCGAAAGCGUGGGGAGCAAACAGGCUUAGAUACCCUGGUAGUCCACGCUGUAAACGGUGGGUACUAGGUGUGGGGUCCAUUCCACGGAUUCCGUGCCGUAGCUAACGCAUUAAGUACCCCGCCUGGGGAGUACGG